UUGACCACUAAAAUUAUUAUUAUUAAGUGCCAAAGAUUGUAAUUCACCAAGCCUUCCAAACACAUUUGGUAUUUCACCACUAAAAUUAUUCACUGAAAGAUCUAAGUUGUAGAGAUGUUCAAAGUUUGAAAGUGAGAUGAUGGGAUUUGACUACUAAAACUAUUAUUGGAAAGAUUCAAGGAAGGGAGAUUUACAAGCAUUGAAAGAAAUGAGACCCCACCACUAAAUUAGUUGGAGGAAAGGUCUAACCAGGUGAGAUUUACAAGUGUUGAAAGAAAUGAGACCCCCCCAACUAAAUUUGUUGGAGGAAAGGUCUAACUCGGUGAGUUGAGUGAGAUUCUUGAAACUCAAAGGAAUAGGCCCUUCAAAUUGACAAUUGCUAAAAUAUAAUGUUUUAAGAGACUUAAAAUGGCCUAUGGAAUCUGGUACUUCUCUAAAGAAAGGUAUGUCAUGUAGAUACAACUCCACCAAAGGAGAGCUCUAGUUGAGCUUUAGAAGUUGAACCUGAAUAUUUGUAUUCCCUCCCAAACUUAGAAUUUUAAGAUUUUCUAAAUACAAAAUGGUAUUUGUUAUAUUACCUUGUAAAGAAGUUUCCACAAGUGAAAGGUAGAUCAAAGAGGACAACAAAUUCCUGAGUAAAGACAAGGAGUUUGGUGUAAUAGAGGACAUGUUCACAUAACCUAAACCAAGCGUUCUUAAAUUAGUUGUAUUUAGAAUCAGCUUUUCCCAAGUAGAUGGCUCAAGUCUUAGCGCUGAACUCCCCUUCAUGUCAAAAUUUAAAGACAAGUCAAGUGAGACCAAUUUAGACAAUUGAGAGAUUUCGGACUGGAUUUCACCAAAAAUAAUUAUUUAGAUAAAGGGCUAAGGAUGUGAGAUGUUCUAGGUUUGAAAGGAAUGAGAUCUCACCACUAAACUUGUUUGAAGCAAGGUUCAAAUAAGUCAGUUGAGUGAGAUUGCUCAGACCCAGAGGAAUCCGCCCUUCAAAAUUAUAGAAGUAUAGAUUCAAAUGAUUAAGAUAUUUCAAGUGGCCAAUAGAAUUAGGCACUUCUCCUAAGAAAGAUGUGUCACUAAGAUCCAAAAGUGAUAUAGGAGAGCUCCAAUUAGACUUUGGAAGUUGACUGUUGAGAUUAACAUUACCUGACAAAUCUAGUUGUUGAAGGCUUUCUAAGCAGAGAAUGUCACUUGUAAUAUUUCCCUGCAACUUAGACUUUCUAAAAC